rnacentral:lncRNA from 1 species
AAAAAAAAAAUACGCAUUCCAAAGGGAGAAAGGUAAAUAUAUGGAAAUAUUUUGCUUGGAAUUCACGACUUUUUAUUCGGGACCCACGAUUUUUUACCCACGACCCACGCCUUUUUACCCACGACCCACGCCUUUUUACCCACGACCCACGCCUUUUUACCCACGACCCACGCCUUUUUACCCACGACCCACGCCUUUUUACCCACGACCCACGCCUUUUUACCCACGACCCACGCCUUUUUACCCACGACCCACCCUUUUUACCCACGACCCACGCCUUUUUACCCACGACCCACGACUUUUUACCCACGACCCACGACUUUUUACCCACGACCCACGACUUUUUACCCACGACCCACGACAUUCUACCCACGACCCACGACAUUCUACCCACGACCCACGACCCACGACUGUUAGCUAGUCCCUU